rnacentral:rRNA from 1 species
AUUGAACGCUGGCGGCAUGCUUUACACAUGCAAGUCGAACGGUAACAGGCCUUCGGGUGCUGACGAGUGGCGAACGGGUGAGUAAUGCAUCGGAACGUACCCAGAGGUGGGGGAUAACGCAGCGAAAGCUGUGCUAAUACCGCAUGUGAUCUGAGGAUGACAGCGGGGGACCGCGCAGCAAUGUUUGGCCUCGCGCCUUUGGAGCGGCCGAUGUCGGAUUAGCUAGUUGGUGGGGUAAAGGCCCACCAAGGCGACGAUCCGUAGCUGGUCUGAGAGGACGACCAGCCACACUGGGACUGAGACACGGUCCAGACUCCUACGGGAGGCAGCAGUGGGGAAUUUUGGACAAUGGGCGCAAGCCUGAUCCAGCAAUGCCGCGUGGGGGAAGAAGGCCUUCGGGUUGUAAACCGCUUUUGGCAGGAACGAAACGGUGUCCGCUAAUACCGGGCGCUAAUGACGGUACCUGCAGAAUAAGCACCGGCUAACUACGUG